CAGAGCAUGGCUAAGAUAGUAAAGCAUCUCCCUUACACUGAGAAGACAUCCGUGCAAAUCGGAUUGCCCUGA
rnacentral:tRNA from 1 species